CCUCGCUACAUAUUCGUCGCCAGACCCACUGGCUCCAGGUCAUCUACAAGUCUAUGCUAGUAUUGAUGACAUCACCCUGAAGAAGGCACAGUGAUGCUGAAACGUUGGCAGCCUGGGAAAGAACUGAAAAAACUCACUAAAGAGUCAAGACAGAGACACCAGAAAGACCCAAGAAGACUUGGACGCAGCAUCAGAGGACAGAGAGGGAUGUUCAGAACUCACUCAGUCUGGUUAGAAGAGAAUGACUCCUCAACCCAAGAGGCCCUGGAGCAGCUGUGAUCAGGUUAGAAGAGAAUGACUCCUCAACCCAAGAGGCCCUGGAGCAGCUGUGAUCAGGUUAGAAGAGAAUGACUCCUCAACCCAAGAGGCCCUGGAGCAGCUGUGAGAGAGCAGCAGUGUGGAAGCAUUUGGGG
rnacentral:lncRNA from 1 species